UACGUAGAGGGCAAGCGUUGUCCGGAAUCAUUGGGCGUAAAGAGCGUGUAGGCGGUUCGGUAAGUCGGCUGUGAAAGUCCAGGGCUCAACCCUGGGAUGCCGGUCGAUACUGCCGGACUAGAGUUCGGAAGAGGCGAGUGGAAUUCCCGGUGUAGCGGUGAAAUGCGCAGAUAUCGGGAGGAACACCGGUGGCGAAGGCGGCAUCCUGGACCGGCAUUGACGCUGAGGAGCGAAAGCCAGGGGAGCAAACGGG
rnacentral:rRNA from 1 species